GCGAAGGUGGCGGAAUUGGUAGACGCGCUAGCUUCAGGUGUUAGUGUUCUUACGGACGCGGGGGUUCAAGUCCCCCCCCUCGCACCA
rnacentral:tRNA from 1 species